rnacentral:rRNA from 1 species
GACGAACGCUGGCGGCGUGCCUAAUACAUGCAAGUAGAACGCACAGUUUAUACCAUAGCUUGCUACACCAUAGACUGUGAGUUGCGAACGGGUGAGUAACGCGUAGGUAACCUGCCUGGUAGCGGGGGAUAACUAUUGGAAACGAUAGCUAAUACCGCAUAAUAUUAAUUAUUGCAUGAUAAUUAAUUUAAAGGUGCAAUUGCACCACUACCAGAUGGACCUGCGUUGUAUUAGCUAGUAGGUGAGGUAACGGCUCACCUAGGCGACGAUACAUAGCCGACCUGAGAGGGUGAUCGGCCACACUGGGACUGAGACACGGCCCAGACUCCUACGGGAGGCAGCAGUAGGGAAUCUUCGGAAAUGGACGAAAGUCUGACCGAGCAACGCCGCGUGAGUGAAGAAGGGUUUCGGAUCGUAAAGCUCUGUUGUAAGAGAAGAACGGGUGUGAGAGUGGAAAGUUCACACUGUGACGGUAUCUUACCAGAAAGGGACGGCUAGCUACGUG